AAGUCGUAACAAGGUUUCCGUAGGUGAACCUGCGGAAGGAUCAUUACUGAAGCAUUUGCAAUGGUUCGCUGCUGCCUCGCAAGAGGACCCCUCAAAAGUGCACGCCAUUCAAUCUUCUAUUUACCACCUGUGCACCUUUCAUAGACCGUGAAUAAAUUUCUCACUGUAACAAGUGGAUCUGAAAGCUUAGUACUUCAUUGUGCUUUGCAUUCAAACCUAUUCACAACUUAUGUCCACUUUUUAUACACACUUUUUGAUUUAUGAAUGGUAUUGCUUAUGGGUUUUUAUCCAUAUAAAUGUAAAUACAACUUUCAGCAACGGAUCUCUUGGCUCUC
rnacentral:misc_RNA from 1 species